UGGGGAAUAUUGCACAAUGGGCGCAAGCCUGAUGCAGCCAUGCCGCGUGUAUGAAGAAGGCCUUCGGGUUGUAAAGUACUUUCAGUCGGGAGGAAGGUGGUAAGGUUAAUAACCUUAUCAACUGACGUUACCGACAGAAGAAGCACCGGCUAACUCCGUGCCAGCAGCCGCGGUAAUACGGAGGGUGCAAGCGUUAAUCGGAAUUACUGGGCGUAAAGCGCACGCAGGCGGUUGAUUGAGUCAGAUGUGAAAUCCCCGGGCUUAACCCGGGAAUUGCAUCUGAUACUGGUCAGCUAGAGUCUUGUAGAGGGGGGUAGAAUUCCAUGUGUAGCGGUGAAAUGCGUAGAGAUGUGGAGGAAUACCGGUGGCGAAGGCGGCCCCCUGGACAAAGACUGACGCUCAGGUGCGAAAGCGUGGGGAGCAAACAGG
rnacentral:rRNA from 1 species